rnacentral:rRNA from 1 species
UACGUAGGAGGCGAGCGUUGUCCGGAUUUACUGGGCGUAAAGCGCGCGCAGGCGGCAUGACAAGUAAGGUGUGAAAUCUCCCUGCUCAACGGGGGAGGGUGCAUUUUAGACUGUCAAGCUAGAGGACGGUAGAGGGGGGUAGAAUUGCUGGUGUAGCGGUGAAAUGCGCAGAUAUCAGGAGGAACACCGAUUGCGAAGGCAGCUCGCUGGGACGUUACUGACGCUGAGACGCGAAAGCGUGGGGAGCAAACAGG